AGAGUUUGAUCAUGGCUCAGAUUGAACGCUGGCGGCUGGCCUAACACAUGCCAAUCGAACGGUAACAUUUCUCGCUUGCUUCAAAAUCACAAGUGGUGGACGGGUGAGUGUUGCUUGGGAACUUGCCUUUGCGACGGGGAUAACAGUUCGAAACUACUGCUCAAACCCCAUUAUGUCUUUUGAACUAACAGGGCUUCGGCUCCAGCGCAAAGAGAGGCCCAGGUUAGAUUAGCUAGUUCGUGUGGUCACCGCUUACCAAGGCGACCAUCUCUACCUGUUCUGACAGGAACAUC
rnacentral:rRNA from 1 species